CAAGGAAGCUACGAAAAAAAUCUGCUGAUAUUGACCUGCUCACAAGUGGGUUUGUUGUUGUUCUUGAGCUUGGGGGGUUGAUUUUGUUUUGUUUUGUUUUGUUUUGUUUUAACCAGCAUCAAAUUUACUCAGCAAAUGGACAUGCUCCACAUGCUGAUUUCUGUCUCUGGAAUUCAAAGGUGCUGGGGGCCGUGCAGAAUCAGCUGGAACCUUCUCAAAAUAACGCACAUUUUUACUGACUAAGGGAGCACAAUGCCUUAAAGUUUGUACAGCUUUGCUAGGAGGUCAUGACACUCCAAUCAUCCAAACUGCAUGUACACCAUUUCAGCAGUGAGGCUUUGGUCUGGAGUGAACCAGCUAGGUAUGUAAGUCAGCUGGAUGUCUCAGUAUCACAGUUCCUGAUCAAAGUGCUCAAGGAAACAGCAGCAAUUCUUCCAUUCAUUAAAAAAAUACCUAAAAACAAGUGGCAGCAGCACUCUGCAGGAAAAUAUUAUAUAGUUUGCUAACAACACACUGACUGUUAAACAAGGUUCAUACCAAUAAUAGCUUCUAGCUUGCCAUUCAUUACAUGGUAGAACUUUUUAUUUUUGUUUCUGUUUUGCAAUUUCUUUGUUCCUUCUUAAGCUGUAAUACAGUUGAAUGGAUUGAUUUUAUUUAGCAACAUGUAUUUUGGGGAUUGUUUUUUAUAAUGCAAUCUAUUUAUAAG
rnacentral:lncRNA from 1 species